CAGCCCGGGAGCGGGGUGGGGGUGGGGGGACGGACGGGCUCCUCGCCCAGGGCGCCUCCGGGUUGCGCCGGGGGGAGGCGGCCCCACGGAGGCGAGCCUCUUUGUUGUGGGAAUGGGUGUCAUUGGAAGCUGACCCACCCUUCGAGGCCUGUGGGCAGCCUGAGCGCUCCACCGCCUAGUGUGCGGGGAGGAGGGAGGGAGCGUGCCUUCAUCAGGCCACUGGCUUCCUAGCGUCGGCCGCCCCUUGCCUGAGCGCCUACUGUGUGCCGGCUUCCCGGGAAACAGGUCUUCCCGCCUCCCUGGUUGGGCAGUGCCCGCCCCGAGCAUGCGGCCCCUCCGGAAAGCUUGGGCGGGUCGGGGUGUUGCGGGGAGAGGCUCACUCGCGCCAGGUGUGCGGGGAGCGUGCGAAGCCCCGCCCUUGGGGCCCGCAGGUGGCGAUGAUGACUGAGAAAUAACAAUCGCGAGAGGACCGGGAGUACCAGCCUUUACUGCCUGCCGGGUGCCCCGUCUCUCGUCCUCCCUACAACGACCCCCAGCAGGAGCGGACCGUCUUUUCCUGGUUCAUACGUAGGGAAACUGAGGCACCGACAGGGCAGGUGACCUCUGAGCCGAUCGGGGCGUGGGCCAGCGCCCUCAUCCAGCACUCCGGGGAGAGGUGCAGGCGUCGAGGUUGCCGCCGGCGGGCGGAUGCACGGAGGCGGCGCCCGAAGGGUCUCCCCCGACGCGGAGGGGCGCUCGGAGGAGGGCGCGGUUGGGCGACGUGAGCCCAACAAGUGCAAAGGCCCUGGAGCGGGGGUGGGGGGGCGGGGUUGCUAAAGACGCCGCCGCUUCCGGAACUUAGGGAAGCCCAGCGCGGCUCCUGCAGAGAGGAGGCGGGCAGGGCCGGCGGGUCCACCUAUUCCCGGAGGAGCCCCACGUCUCCUUUGGCUUCCUCUGCAUCCCCCAGGGCCUGGCCCCGAGUAGGCCGACCGGAAAGGACGGUUCCGCGGGGCGUGUGGGUGACCGCACGGACUGUGGGCCGAGGAACCUCAUUAUUCCUCCCCCUUGACCUUGGGUGGCAGACAGGACGCUCAUUAGCCCCUUCCGCAGGUGGCCCACUGAGGCGCAGGGAUUUGCUGAGGGCAGGUAUCUAACAGGUGGAGGCGGGGCUAGACCUUUAACACCGGAGCUCCUCCCACUGGCCUCGCCUUCCCGCCGGGGAAGCCCACCCGGUGGGGUCCGGACCAGGGAAGCCUCCCCAGGCUUCGGUUGAAGCACAGCCAAGCACGUUGCCCUGCCCUUGCUGCCUUUUCACUCCAAAAGCCUCAGGGCCAUCGGUGACCUCAGACGUUGUCAUGCCACCUUCUUUGCAAGCCCGGCAGGAAUGAUUUGCUUUGGUUUCAUUAGCUUCUGAUUGAUCGCUAAAGUUUUUUUCCAAGAUUUUCAAGGGUGCUUGGCUCCGGAUACUCAAAUUGCAUCCCACUGAGACUGGCUUUGCCACCCCGUUUCCUCACCGGAUACCCGAGGGAGGCGAGCACAGUGGGCACCACAGCCCUGUGUGGGUCCUCCUGGGCCUUGGUGCCCAGGCCUGGGCAGCACUUCACAGCCCCAAACAUCAAUGUCUCCCCACUCCAAGCUUUCCAGAGUCCACCCCGACACUGAGCCCUGAGGCUGAUGCCCAAACUCGGACCCUGUGAAGCCCCCAGACUCCCAAGAUGCUGGCAGCUCCCUUCAUCAUCUGCCCAGGGCCAGGCCAAGUGUUCCGAGCGGUGCUUUGCAAGGGAGCAGGCCGGAGAGGGCCAGUCAGGACAGAUGGUCAAACCCAGGUAUGGGCUGGUGCCCUGGUUCUGGAUCUGUCCCUCCCCCAGCUUCCCUGCAUUGCCAGCUGCUCUUCCUGCCUCAGCCGAGAGGCUCAGGGUGGGCCAGAGCCCCUGAGUUGGGGCUCAGAACCUUGAUGCAGCCAUGUUGAAGGGAGGCUGGGCUGGGCAGAGGCCACAGCCCCGAGCGGCCCUCCUGGGGGAGACUGGAAAUUCGACUUCCCUGCAGUGAGUGUGGCCGGCUGGAGGCCGCCUCCUGCCAGCUGGCAGAGGAGGGGGGAUGGGGGACAGGAAGUAAUGUGGCCAGGCACCUGCCCAGCCCCCACGUGACAGGAGCCAGUGGCAUUUACACUGGGAAGCCGCUGGAUGCCCCCGGUGGAGGUGCUAAGCCACAGAGGCACUGGGGCCCCACAGUCCAGGACCGAAGGGAAGAUAUUAACAACUCUGAAGAUAAAGACUGAGUUGGCGGAAGGGGCCCAGACCAGCCCCCGGAAGCACCAGGAGUGCCAGCCCAGCCCAGAGCUGACCUGGGAGGCGCACCCUUGUCGGGGCAUCGGCUGAGCCUGCGGAGUCUAUUCCAGCUCCCCUCCCCCCAGCAGGGCCCAGGGACACUUGAGACCCAGCCUGAUGCCCCCAAUCCUGCAUCACUCUCCAGCUCCCCUCCUUCAAAGACCAGGUUCAUCCAGUGACGGGCUGGCAGGAUUUGCCUGCUGGGAUCCUGUGCCCACAGGGAGGGCCCACAGGUCAUGUUGAGCCCAGAAUUCCAGGCUGGUUGGUGAGCGGCUUCUCAUUGUAAAGUGAUAACUUGGCUUUUGGACUCUGCCCACGCGUCUCCCCUGGUCUCCCUCCCCUGUCCGGAAGGCAGGGCUCUUCUGCUGAGAGCAGGUGGCCCUGCAGGAGGGGGAAAGGGCAGGGGACAUACCCAGAUGAUUCCGGCUCUCUGGCCGCCUAUCUGAGCACCACUAGGCCCCCCACCCCAUCCUGGCCCUCCACUGCCCACCCUGCCUUCGGUAGAUGAGCUGCCCAAGGCCAAGUCAACAGCAGCAAGAAUUUACAGCAGCUGUGAACAGGACGAGUCUGCCCUGGGUUCAAAUCCCAGCUCCACAAAUUUCCCAGCCUGUGUGAUCCUGGGAAAGUGAUGCAGCCUGUCUACACACCAUGCCCCCUCUGCGCAAAGGAGCCCUUGGACCUGCCUAAAUGGUCUCCUACAUAGCUUUAAAAUCACUUAUGUACUGAGAGGCCCAAAUUCCCAUCUCCAGCCUGCACAGCUCUGAACUUCCGACACCGCUGCUUAGCUGUGAAACAGGCACGUCAAGUGCAGCACGGCUGAAACGGACAACGCACAGGCCCACCUCCGCCUCUUGGAGAGUCUUCGCAUUGCUCAGAAGUUCGCAGGACGGUCUGAGCUGCAGUUGUGACCCACGCCACAGCUGGAGCAAUGCAGGAUCCUUUAACCCACUGUGCCAGGAAGGUUCCAAGUGUAUCACAGACAAUUUUAUUUUCCUGAACUGUGCGUUUCUGCUGAGAAGUUCCAAGACUACCAAGCAGAGUGGGGUGUGUUUCCCGGCAGAGAUAUUUAUGGUGACUUUAUUUAUAAAACCCCCAAACUGGAAACAAUGCAGAUGCUCACGAACAAAAGAAUAAAUGAAAUGUGUGAUGAAAUCCAAUGCAGAAAUAGUAAUGAAUGAGCUACAACGUGGAUGAAUUUCAAAAACAUUAUGUUGAGGUAAAAGAAGCCAGAAACCACAGAGAAAAAAUUGUGCGAUUCCAAACACGCGAUGUCCCAGAACAGAAAGAGGCUCAUCUGUGGGGAUAGAACUACGAAGCAGCAUUUGCCUCUGGGCAGGUGCGAUUGACUCGUUAGGGACCCAAGAAUUUUCUGGUAUGUUGGGAACAUUCUGUAUCUGGGGCGGGUUACCUGGAUACCUACAGCUUAAGUCUAACUUCUGUACAAAUUGCUGGAUGGAAAUACAUUCUCAAACAAGAAAGGAACAAUCUGGGCAAAGUGAAUUGAACCAGGCUGCUGCUCAAUGAAGACCUCUCCAGCUUUUCCAUGACUUGUCCGGUGGUUGAGUAAAUUUUGCAAAAUCA